GGUAGAUGUACUUUAUACCAUAUCAUGACUUUUCUGGCGAUUUUCCUGGCCUUCUAUACCUGGGGCAUCUGGGGACCCUCUUUCCCCAUUUUCCUCCUUCUCCCCAGGGUCUCAUGGGGAUUCUGGGUCUGACUGGGGCUUAACCCCUUCCCUCCUGCGGUUCACGUUGGCUCCCGCCGGCUCCAGGGCAUUAACACCUUCUUCCGGCCUAUCCGUUCGACCCCUUCCUAAUACAACCCUCAGGGGGACGGCCGGACUCACUGCCAUCGCUCUCUAAGGCUGCCCCAUACCGUACACCCGGUAACGUGCUGGAUGCUUUCCAACACCGACUACCUUGGUGCAGGGCAGUCUGUGGGGUGACCACGAGGUAGCCCGAGCAUGACGCGGCGGCCUUCUUUGAUCCCGCGUCUAUUGAGACUCCAGGGACCAUGUUUCCCAUCCAUUACCCUCGGCGGCCAUCUUUAGUCUCGCGAGAUUAUGGGCGGCCGUUUUGCUACUCUCGCCCACCAUGAUUUCGGCGCUCGAGAGUAACAUAUACCUGGGCUGUCAGCUAGCCUAGCUGUUCUCGUGGCUUGGGGUCCCAAGUCCGAAUCCAGGCAAAGCUAAGUAUUCUAACUGCCUAUUAUUUUCAGAUUUGAGUCAUAGCACCCUCAAAUUCCUUAAAGAUACCAUUCUUGGACCCUUAGAGGGAACUCCUUAAAGGGAUACCACCGCGGUACUACUUAAAAGGAUACCACCCUGGAACUACUUAAAAGGGAUACCAAAUCCUUAAAGGGAUAUCACCCUUGAAUUCCUUAAAGGGAUAGCACCCUUGGACACAGACUAUCAAGAUGGUACUGUAUAAGUACAUAUCAGUGAUGGGAGAUUUGAAGGGAUAUCACCUGGAUCAGGAAUCUACAGCAAGACUCUGUCUGGUAAUGGAUGCUCAAAGGGAUGACCCCUAUCACUUAGACUACCUGUCAGAACACGACAGAUGACGGAGCUUAGAGCUAGUGCUAUAUCCUAUUAUCCCUCAGAUGUCAGUCACUUUUGUCUCAUUACUGCCAUAUUAGGCACUAAAGGGCUUAUUACCCUGUACCUGCCUGGGGUGCUGCCCCUAUUACCGUGCUGCUUUUUGGAGGUCUCCCUGUGGCCACCUCUG